UACGAAGGGUGCAAGCGUUGUCCGGAUUUAUUGGGCGUAAAGAGCGUGUAGGCGGCCUGAAAGGUCAGCUGUGAAAACUCGAGGCUCAACCUCGAGACGUCGGUUGAAACCGUAUGGCUAGAGUCCGGAAGAGGAGAGUGGAAUUCCCGGUGUAGCGGUGAAAUGCGCAGAUAUCGGGAAGAACACCCGUGGCGAAGGCGGCUCUCUGGGACGGUACUGACGCUGAGACGCGAAAGCGUGGGGAGCGAACAGG
rnacentral:rRNA from 1 species